rnacentral:misc_RNA from 1 species
GGCUCUUCUCUUUGAGGAGCUCAGUAUCGCCGCCGUCGCCGCCGUCUCUCUUACGCUCGUGACGACGGCGUUUCUUCCCCUCGUCCUGCCGCAGUCUUCCUUGUAUUGCACUGAUAUUCUACUGAGUAUUGUUAAAGAAUCUAGCCGAGCUGAUAAUAUAGAAUAGCUACUGGAUUAUUGUAAGGGUCUUCAAUAUGGCAAGUGGACCUGGACUUGAAUCUCUGGUUGAUCAAACAAUAUCAGUUAUCACAAAUGACGGUCGCAAUAU